rnacentral:rRNA from 1 species
GAUCAACGCUGGCGGCGUGCAUGAGACAUGCAAGUCGAACGAAGGAUCGGGCUUGCUCGAUCCUUAGUGGCGGACGGCUGCGUAACGCGUAGGUGACCUACCCCGAAGUGGGGAAUAACUGCCCGAAAGGGUGGCUAAUACCGCAUGUGGUCGCACGUUCAUUCGUGCGAGUAAAGCCGCAAGGCGCUUCGGGAGGGGCCUGCGUCCGAUUAGCUCGUUGGUGGGGUAAUGGCUUACCAAGGCGACGAUCGGUAGGUGGUCUGAGAGGACGAUCACCCAGACUGGGACUGAGACACGGCCCAGACUCCUACGGGAGGCAGCAGUCGGGAAUUUUGCUCAAUGGGGGAAACCCUGAAGCAGCAACGCCGCGUGAGGGAUGAAGGCCUUCGGGUUGUAAACCUCUUUUGUCAGGGACGAUGAUGACGGUACCUGGCGAAUAAGCCACGGCUAACUACGUG